UACGUAGGGUGCAAGCGUUAAUCGGAAUUACUGGGCGUAAAGCGUGCGCAGGCGGUGAUGUAAGACAGAUGUGAAAUCCCCGGGCUCAACCUGGGAACUGCAUUUGUGACUGCAUCGCUGGAGUGCGGCAGAGGGGGAUGGAAUUCCGCGUGUAGCAGUGAAAUGCGUAGAUAUGCGGAGGAACACCGAUGGCGAAGGCAACCCCCUGGGUCAAGACUGACGCUCAUGCACGAAAGCGCGGGGAGCAAACAGG
rnacentral:rRNA from 1 species